AUAUCCUGGACACCUUGAGUUCUGGGCCCCACUACAAAUCCCUAUUUGGGGCCCCACUCUUGGCUGUACCCUGUUACAGUCUCAAGUGUCAUAAAUCAGUCAUUGUCCUCAGAGUAAGUAGCAGACAUCCUUUUGAAGGACACUUUCAUAGCUCUGCUUCUUGAUAUUGAGAGUGAAAGAAAAUGUCUUCCAUUUCAGGGCAACCAGUUCCACUUUUAUAACAGGCCAAAGUGUAUAUGUAUUGCCAUGCUUGAAACUUGAGGUGAAUUUUUCACAGAGGAAUAUUGGUUAUGUUUCUGAUAGCACAACUUUGGACUAUACUGAAGUUUAAAUAUUCCCUUAGAAGCAGUGUUUACUGGGCCUACUAUGCCAUGAUAGCUUUAUCGGUUGCAUAUCCUCACAUUGCUGCCCUUCCCCUUGUAAAUUGUAGCAAAAGCUUUGAACUUACCUUAACAUUAUUUGAAUAAUAGAGCAAUGAAGAUUUAGAAUUACUUCAUGUCUUAUGAAUAUGUUUUUGUUUUUUAAAUAGAAGUCAGAAAGAGGAGAAAUACCUAUUCCUUGCAAACCUGUUUGGUUUUAAAGUUUUAAGAAAGCUAUGUGAGUUAGGAAAAAGAUAAUACUUGUUGCAUAUAAAGUGCCUUCAAUGGCAGCUGCAUCUUGAAAACUUAGUGACAUUCAGGUGAGAUAACAGAAUCAACCCAGGAAGACUGGUGAUGAAAUAUGCUGUAUCUGUUGAAAUCAUUUUGUCAAUCCAGGCAGUACAUUAAUUCUCCUGAUUGGGUAGUUACUUUUAAACAUUUUUUGACAAAAAGAGUAAGACAGUCUAUAUGCAUUAGUAAGAAUUCUUAAGGUUUUCAAGUGGCAAAAACCCAAUUUGUACUACUUUAAGCAAAAAGGGAGAUUGGCUCUGAAGA